GCUGGAUGUGCACGUGCCCUAAGCACGCUGGCACGAUCAUUAGAUGAGAGGACCUGGCACACUGGCCAGCUGUUCUUGCUCAUCUGUGUCUCCUUGGCUCAUGCACAAGGUCAGAAAUGGUCUCGGCGCUUGAGAGAGACACAGCAAACCCUCCAGCACACUUCCCUGAUUUCAAAGCUUGGAGUUCAUAGUUAUUAUCCCUCACUCCAGCCUGUGCUGCACCAAAGCAGAGGACAGCUCAAAACGCAGAAUUAAACAUGUUUCUUUCAGAGGCAGAAUGGCUAAAAUCUAGAUGGAGCGUCUGAGGGCUAAGCCAAGUCAUCAAGGUGUGUGUUUUCCUUCUUAUGGCUGAGGGAUAGACCAGGGGAAUCUCUUCUCCUACGUCACUUCCUUGGUGGGCCGGGCAGGAGGGACGUGUCCACCCCUCAUCUCACAUCCUGCCACCUCGGAAGCUGCCUCGUCUGUCUCCUCCUGGUACCUCUGAGAUCUCACUGGAGACUAGAACCCCGAUGGGGUCCUCCUUACCUGCUCCUUCUCCAGUUCCCCCUCGCCUAUAGCGUUGUCCACAUCCCCUGGCUCGGCAGUCAAGGCUCUGCAGGAAUGAAGUUUGCUUUCAUCUGCAAAUGUUGCUAAGAAAGAAUCUUUCGUUCAAUGUGCUGUGGUCCACUCUGCACUUCAGGAUCUCAGGCUUUACCCAGAACCUGGAGCAAGACCACUUCAACUCUUACAAGAAAUUCACAGAAGGAGGAGGAGGAACAGUAGCAGCAGUAGCAGCAGCAGCAGUAGCAGCAGGAGCAGCAGCAGCAGCAGCAGCAGGAGCAACGGCAAAAAGCAUGUUCCAGAAAAAAGAUUUGGGUAUACCACCAUGGAAUACUCCAUGCCAGGGACAGGAUAUUACACUUCAAGCACAGACAUGCAGCUCUUCAGCACUGUCAUUACACACAUGUGACUUAGGAGGAGCAGAGCAUGAAAACAAAGCUUGUAUGUGAUCACAUGGAACCAGUUAGGGGAAAGAGUGGGAGCUGAACUUUGGAUGACUCUGAAUCAUACUCAAUUGAUUCUCCAUCAUCCAACAAGCCAUCAUCAAAAACAGGCAAAACACAGCCCAGAGAGAAUAGUACACAUUGGAAAUAUGCGCAGAUGCAGUGGUACAUAUUAUUGUCUAGACAUGAAUGAAUACUGUGACUUAGUGAGACAUAAGCCCUAAAAGGCAAAAAUAGAAGCAGUGUGUCCUUCU
rnacentral:lncRNA from 1 species